rnacentral:rRNA from 1 species
UACAGAGGUCCCAAGCGUUGUUCGGAUUCACUGGGCGUAAAGGGUGCGUAGGUGGCCGCAUAAGUCUGAUGUGAAAUCUCGAAGCUUAACUUCGAAACUGCAUUGGAUACUAUACGGCUGGAGGGUUGGAGGGGGGACUGGAAUUCUCGGUGUAGCAGUGAAAUGCGUAGAUAUCGAGAGGAACACCAGUGGCGAAGGCGAGUCCCUGGACAACUCCUGACACUGAGGCACGAAAGCUAGGGGAGCAAACAGG